rnacentral:rRNA from 1 species
GAUGAACGCUGGCGGCGUGCCUAAUACAUGCAAGUCGAGCGAACAGAUGAGAAGCUUGCUCCUCUGAUGUUAGCGGCGGACGGGUGAGUAACACGUGGGUAACCUACCUAUAAGACUGGGAUAACUCCGGGAAACCGGGGCUAAUACCGGAUAAUAUUUUGAACCGCAUGGUUCAAUAGUGAAAGACGGUUUCGGCUGUCACUUAUAGAUGGACCCGCGCCGUAUUAGCUAGUUGGUAAGGUAACGGCUUACCAAGGCGACGAUACGUAGCCGACCUGAGAGGGGGAUCGGCCACACUGGAACUGAGACACGGUCCAGACUCCUACGGGAGGCAGCAGUAGGGAAUCUUCCGCAAUGGGCGAAAGCCUGACGGAGCAACGCCGCGUGAGUGAUGAAGGUCUUCGGAUCGUAAAACUCUGUUGUUAGGGAAGAACAAAUUUGUUAGUAACUGAACAAGUCUUGACGGUACCUAACCAGAAAGCCACGGCUAACUACGUGCCAGCCGCCGCAGUAA